UACGUAGGGUGCAAGCGUUAAUCGGAAUUACUGGGCGUAAAGCGUGCGCAGGCGGUUUUGUAAGUCUGUCGUGAAAUCCCCGGGCUCAACCUGGGAAUUGCGAUGGAGACUGCAAGGCUAGAAUCUGGCAGAGGGGGGGUAGAAUUCCACCGUGUAGCAGUGAAAUGCGUAGAGAUGUGGAGGAACACCGUGGCGAAGGCGCCGGCCCU
rnacentral:rRNA from 1 species